GAUGAACGCUGGCGGCGUGCUUAACACAUGCAAGUCGAACGGACCUAUUUAUAGGUUAGUGGCAGACGGGUGAGUACAACACAGGUAACUUACCCCUAAGACUGGCAUAACCACUUGAAAAGGUGGCUAAUUCCAGAUAAUCUUGUUUAACCGCAUGGUUUUACAAGGAAAUGUUUUUUCGCUUAGGGAUAGGCCUGUGCCUGAUUAGCUUGUUGGUGGGGUAAAAGCCUACCAAGGCUGCGAUCAGUAGCUGGUCUGAGAGGAUGAACAGCCACACUGGGACUGAGAUACGGCCCAG
rnacentral:rRNA from 1 species